UUGUUCAGGAACCUGAGUACUAAUUCCUUGGACAACACUCUACCAAUUGGGCUUGGACAAAAGUCCCUUGCACGAUUAGAUUUGUCAAAUAAUUAAUUCUCAGGUUCUAUACCGGAAAGUUUAACAUCUUCAAAUCUGCAGCUUGUGAGACUUAACAAUAACUUAUUGGAAGGGCGAGUACCGGAGGAACUUUAUUCUGUUGGUGUGCAUGGAGGAACCAUUGAUCUCUCUGGUAACAAAGACUUGUGUGGAGUUCUUUACCGGAUUGUCCUAUGUUUUGGGAGAAUGGUCGUUUGUCUGAAGGUGGUAAAAUUGCAAUAGGCCUGUCAUGCUUCUUUUUUGUCGCUGUGCUGCUACUGGUGAUCAACAUAUUCUGUAUCAGGAGGGGUAGAAAUGAUUAUGAUUUUGGUCUAUCUUCAGAUUUAAUACGCAAGUAUUAUCUCACACUUGCUGCAGAGAGGAACAGGUAUCAAAGACAGAAGUCACUGAUGCAUCUUGAAAUGGAGGGUCAGCAUGCUAAGGGGUUGCCAUCACUUCACCUUAAUCCUCAUUAGUCGUCAGCCAGCCAGCAUUACAAGGUAGACUUUUACUGGUUUUUAGUAGUUUUCCACUCACUCACCAAGAAGUCGCAUAUCUAGAUUAGAGGGGGACCAUGAAAUUGCAAUUAUAGAAAGAGAACAUACCACAAAAUAAGCAAGUGAAUGAA